rnacentral:rRNA from 1 species
UACGUAGGGUGCGAGCGUUAAUCGGAAUUACUGGGCGUAAAGCGUGCGCAGGCGGUUCGUUGUGUCGGCGGUGAAAGCCCCGGGCUUAACCUGGGAACGGCCGUUGAAACUGGCGAACUGGAGUGUGGCAGAGGGGGGUGGAAUUCCGCGUGUAGCAGUGAAAUGCGUAGAGAUGUGGAGGAACACCGAUGGCGAAGGCAGCCCCCUGGGUCAAGACUGACGCUCAUGCACGAAAGCGUGGGGAGCAAACAGG